rnacentral:lncRNA from 12 species
UGUUUUUUUGCUAUUGUAAAUAGUUUUAUCUUAGUUGUCAAUUGCUGGGUACAAACUACCCCAAAAUUUAGUGGCUUGAAAGAACAAUUUUUGUUUUGUCUUAAUUUGUUCUUGCCUUUCUGUGGAUAGACUUGGUUCUGCUGGGUGAUUCUCAGAGGUGAUCAUGAAGUUGCCAUCAAAUAGUGCUGGAACUGGAGUCAUCUUGAAGGUUCAGUUGGGCUAAACAUGGAACAUGGAUCACUCAUAUGGCUGGCAGCUGAUACUGACAAAUAGCCCCGCUAGGACUAUCGGACACAAAAGGGCCUGGUGUACUCCUCUGCUUGCCCAAGACAAAAGGGAGCAAAGAAUGCUACUCGUGUUGGUUACGGAGGAAUUUGAUCCUUCUGAAUAUAUGCCUUGAACCUGAUGCCACAGGGCUAAGUCUGAACUUAGAAAGAUCAGAGCUGUUCAUCUAUCCACUUGCCUAGAAUGGUAAGAUGACUAACUUAUCUUGAUUUGCCUAGGAUUUAACCAGUUUUAACUCAAUAAGUACUAUGUCUUGGGAAACCCCUUAGUCCCAGGUAAACCUAGACAAUUGAUUAUCCUGUAUGGCACAGAAACAUCUUAUUCCCUGUUGAAUAUCCAUGACCAAUGAAUGACUCUCCUGGCAGUGUGCUUUCAGAAAUGUGAUUCUUUUUUGUCUAACUCAAGCAACAUACACCUCCCCAAUUUGUGAUUUGUGUAUGUGCAUAUGUAG